AAGGUUGAGAUUAGUUUUCUUUACCGGACAAGUCGAGUUGAAUACGCUUUCAAUAUGAAGUUCGUAAUAUGUUUAUUUGCUCUUGUAGCAUGUGUUUAUGCUUCUGGCCAGUGGCAAGAAAUCUCAAAGAACGAUGUUGGGGCAAUUAACGCAGCAAACUUCGCAGCUAAAUCAAUUUCAAUGCGUACCAAUUCACCCUAUCAUUCCAAAUUAGUUCAUGUUCAUAAAGUGGAGAGGCAGAUAGUUGCUGGAGUUAAUUAUAAACUUAAGGUAACCCUUGGAUAUACAUCUUGUAAAAAAUCUGAAGUAGAAUAUGACAACAUUGACAAAUGUGACAUUCAAGAGAACUCCUACAAAAAGUGUGAAAUUAAAGUUUAUCGAAACUUGAAGGGUGAACAUCAAGUAUUACAUUUUGAAUGUGUUCCUGAUAAGAAAAAAAGUCCAUCACAUGUUAAAAAUGCUCAUCAUGAUUAUGCUGAGGAAUUGCUCUUUCAGGAUUUUAUUGCAAGACAUAACAAAGCAUAUAAAGAUGAUGCUGAGAAACAAAGGAGAUUUAAAAUUUUUCAGACAAAUUUGAAAAAGAUUAAAUUUUUGAAUGAUCAUGAGCGAGGAACUGCAAGAUAUGGAAUUACAAAGUUUGCAGAUUGGACAGAUACUGAGUUUAAAAAGCAUGCAUUAGGUUUUCGACCAGAUCUUCUGAAACCUGAAAAUGUUGGCAAAACUGCUGAAAUUCCUCAAAUUUCAAUUCCGGAUUCAUUUGAUUGGCGAGAUAAAAAUGUUGUCAGUGAAGUGAAAGAUCAAGGUCAGUGUGGAUCAUGCUGGGCAUUUUCUACUACAGGAAAUAUUGAAGGACAGUGGGCAAUAAAGGAAAAGGCAUUGAUUUCACUUUCAGAACAAGAGCUAGUUGACUGUGAUAAAAUAGAUGAAGGAUGUAAUGGUGGGUUGCCGAGUAAUGCAUAUAAAGAAAUUAUGAGACUUGGAGGUCUGGAAAGAGAAAAAGAUUAUCCAUAUGAAGGAGAAAAUGAUAAAUGUGAAUUCGUGAAAUCAAAAGCAAAAGUGUACAUAAAUGGAUCUGUUACGAUAUCACAAAAUGAAACAGAGAUGGCUCAAUGGCUAGUGAAAAAUGGUCCUAUUUCCAUUGGUAUUAAUGCAAAUGCAAUGCAGUUUUAUUAUGGUGGUAUUUCACAUCCAUGGAAAUUCUUAUGUGAUCCUUCUAAUUUGGACCAUGGAGUAUUAAUUGUUGGUUAUGGUGUUCACAGAGAAGUAAGCCUUGGGAUGUUAUGAGCCGAAGAAGAAUGAAGCCAGGAAUACACAUAGUUUUCCAGAACAUCUUUAAAGUUCUGAUUCAUGGGCUCCAUAUUAGGAGUAAACUGCUUUUCCAGGUAUUCAGCGAAAAUAUCAACUUUAUCUUUGACAUAUCCAAUUUUCAAGAAAACACUGCCAUUCUGGAUAAUAAAAAACAGUUGGGGUGCUUCGUGGGGAGAACAGGGUUAUUACAGAGUUU
rnacentral:misc_RNA from 1 species